GCGCCAAUGGUGUAGUGGUAUCAUACAAGAUUCCCAUUCUUGAUGACCUGGGUUCAAUUCCCAGUGACCUGGGUUCAAUUCCCAGUUGGCGCA